UACGUAGGUGGCAAGCGUUGUCCGGAAUUAUUGGGCGUAAAGCGCGCGCAGGCGGUCCUUUAAGUCUGAUGUGAAAGCCCACGGCUCAACCGUGGAGGGUCAUUGGAAACUGGGGGACUUGAGUACAGGAGAGAAGAGUGGAAUUCCACGUGUAGCGGUGAAAUGCGUAGAGAUGUGGAGGAACACCAGUGGCGAAGGCGACUUCCUGGACCAAUACUGACGCUCAGGUGCGAAAGCGUGGGGAGCAAACAGG
rnacentral:rRNA from 1 species